AGAAUCAACGCUGGCGGCGUGCCUAACACAUGCAAGUCGAACGAGAAAGUGGGAGCAAUCCCACGAGUAAAGUGGCGCACGGGUGAGUAACACGUGACUAACCUACCCUUGAGUGGGGGAUAACCUAGGGAAACCUGGGCUAAUACCGCAUAAUACCUACGGGUCAAAGGAGCAAUUCGCUUUAGGAGGGGGUCGCGGCAGAUUAGUUAGUUGGCGGGGUAAUGGCCCACCAAGACAGUGAUCUGUAUCCGGCCUGAGAGGGCGCACGGACACACUGGAACUGAAACACGGUCCAGACUCCUACGGGAGGCAGCAGUGGGGAAUUUGCGCAAUGGGGGAAACCCUGACGCAGCAACGCCGCGUGGAGGAUGAAGCCCCUUGGGGCGUAAACUCCUUUCGAUCGGGAAGAUAAUGACGGUACCGGAAGAAGAAGCCCGGCUAACUUCGUGCCAGCAGCCGC
rnacentral:rRNA from 1 species